rnacentral:rRNA from 1 species
GACGAACGCUGGCGGCGUGCUUAACACAUGCAAGUCGAACGGAAAGGCCCUGCUUUUGUGGGGUGCUCGAGUGGCGAACGGGUGAGUAACACGUGAGUAACCUGCCCUUGACUUUGGGAUAACUUCAGGAAACUGGGGCUAAUACCGGAUAGGAGCUCCUGCUGCAUGGUGGGGGUUGGAAAGUUUCGGCGGUUGGGGAUGGACUCGCGGCUUAUCAGCUUGUUGGUGGGGUAGUGGCUUACCAAGGCUUUGACGGGUAGCCGGCCUGGGAGGGUGACCGGCCACAUUGGGACUGAGAGACGGCCCAGACUCGUACGGGAGGCAGCGGUGGGGAGUAUUGCACAAUGGGCGGAAGCCUGAUGCAGAAACGCCGCGUGCGGGAUGACGGCCUUCGGGUUGUAAACCGCUUUCGCCUGUGACGAAGCGUGAGUGACGGUAAUGGGUAAAGAAGCACCGGCUAACUACGUG